AUUGAACGCUGGCGGCAGGCCUAACACAUGCAAGUCGAGCGGAUGAGAGGAGCUUGCUUCUCGAUUCAGCGGCGGACGGGUGAGUAAUGCCUAGGAAUCUGCCUGGUAGUGGGGGACAACGUUUCGAAAGGAACGCUAAUACCGCAUACGUCCUACGGGAGAAAGCAGGGGACCUUCGGGCCUUGCGCUAUCAGAUGAGCCUAGGUCGGAUCAGCUAGUUGGUGAGGUAAUGGCUCACCAAGGCGACGAUCCGUAACUGGUCUGAGAGGAUGAUCAGUCACACUGGAACGGAGACACGGUCCAGACUCCUACGGGAGGCAGCAGUGGGGAAUAUUGGACAAUGGGCGAAAGCCUGAUCCAGCCAUGCCGCGUGUGUGAAGAAGGUCUUCGGAUUGUAAAGCACUUUAAGUUGGGAGGAAGGGUUGUAGAUUAAUACUCUGCAAUUUUGACGUUACCGACAGAAUAAGCACCGGCUAACUCUGUGCCAGCAGCCGCCGUAAAAC
rnacentral:rRNA from 1 species